UGGUCUUGACAUCCCGAGAACGACCUUGAAAGAGGGAAAUGCCUUCAUUAGAAGGAGCUUGGAGAC
rnacentral:rRNA from 1 species